AACUUUCGACAACGGAUCUCUUGGCUCUCGCAUCGAUGAAGAACGUAGCGAAGUGCGAUAAGUAGUGUGAAUUGCAGAAUUCCGUGGAUCAUCGAAUUUUUGAACGCAAAUUGCACUUUCUGGUAUUCCGGAGAGUAUGCCUGUUUGAGGGUCAGUAAAAUAAAAAAUCGAUUUGUUACCUUAUGGUGAUAUUUCGGAAUUGAGCUACCUUAAAUUUUUAUUUAAGAGGCUUAAAAUUGACCACUUUUUGGUAUGAUUUAAGCGUUGCUAAGAUUACGUUUAAUGAGUAUCGAUGUUUAUUAGGCAUGACCAUGGUCAUGGUUUCGUGCCCAUAAUUUUUUCAUGAAAUGACCUCAAAUCAGGUAGGAUUACCCGCUGAACUUAAGCAUAUCAAUAAGCGGAGGCU
rnacentral:misc_RNA from 1 species